UACGUAGGGGGCAAGCGUUGUCCGGAUUUAUUGGGCGUAAAGAGCGUGUAGGCGGCCAGGUAGGUCUGCUGUGAAAACUCGAGGCUUAACCUCGAGCUGUCUGCGGAAACCAUCUGGCUAGAGUCCGGAAGAGGAGAAUGGAAUUCCUGGUGUAGCGGUGAAAUGCGCAGAUAUCAGGAAGAACACCAAUGGCGAAAGCAGCUCUCUGGGACGGUACUGACGCUGAGACGCGAAAGCGUGGGGAGCGAACAGG
rnacentral:rRNA from 1 species